rnacentral:rRNA from 1 species
UCAUAUGCGGUUUCGGCCGUGUAUAAGGAUAGUCUGUGGAAGGCUCAUUAUAACAGUUAUACUCCUAUCCACUGGAAAGUUUACAAGGAUACCACCGUUAACUGCAGCGAUAAUACUUGUUCCCUUCGGGGUGGUAAUAGUAUUUGUGCUGAAGCCUAGCUAUUGUAACCUAGUUUUUCGGGUGUGGCAACAUAUUCAGGGGAUUAGGAAUCGACCGCUANCAAGUGCCUUCGGGCGCGGGAAAGUGAAUUAACAAGGUUUUCAUAAGGCCUUUCAGGUUUGCUUUUUCUAGUGGCCAGGCAGAGGAGUUUCUUACCUAUCAGCUCGUUGUUUGUUUAAAGGACAAACCAGGCUUUGACGGGUACGGGGAAUCAGUGUUCAAUUCCAGACAGGGAGCCUGAGAAAUCGCUACCACAUCUAAGGACGGCAGCAGGCGCGCAAAUUACCCAAUCUCAAUACGAGGAGGUAGUGACAAGCUAUACUGACUCCACACCAUUCGGUGGGGAGGUAUNNNCUUCUGACGAUUUUCCAUGAUUUGGGUGUAAUAACCCUUAGAGUAGCCAUU